CGCGGAGAAAAGAAACUAACAAGGAUUCCCUAGUACUGCGAGUGAAGCGGGAAAAGCUCAAAUUAAAUCUGGCGGUCUUGGCCGUCCGAGUUGUAAUCUAGAGAAGUAAUGCCCGUGCUGGACCGUGUAUAAGUCUCUGGGAUGGGGCGUCAUAGAGGGUGAGAAUCCCGUCUUUGACACGGACUACCAGUGCAUUGUGGUAUGCUCUCAAAGAGUCGAGUUGUUUGGGAAUGCAGCUCAAAAUGGGUGGUAAAUUCCAUCUAAAGCUAAAUAUUGGCGAGAGACCGAUAGCGAACAAGUACCGUGAGGGAAAGAUGAAAAGAACUUUGGAAAGAGAGUUAAACAGUACGUGAAAAUUGCUGAAAGGGAAACGCUUGAAGUCAGUCGCGUUGGCCAGGGAUCAGCUCUUGCUUUUGCAUGGUGUACUUUCUGGUUGACGGGUCAGCAUCAAAUUUUGACCGCUGGAAAAGGGCCCUGGGGAAUGUGGCAGCUUCGGCUGUGUUAUAGCCCCUGGUCGCAUACAGUGGUUGGGAUUGAGGAACUCAGCACGCCGCAAGGCCGGGUUUCGACCACGUUCGUGCUUAGGAUGCUGGCAUAAUGGCUUUAAGCGACCCGUCUUGAAACACGGACCAAGGAGUCUAACAUGCCUGCGAGUAUUUGGGGUGGAAAACCCGAGUGCGCAAUGAAAGUGAAAGUUGAGAUCCCUGUCGUGGGGAGCAUCGACGCCCGGACCAGAACUUUUGGGACGGAUCCGCGGUGGAGCAUGUAUGUUGGGACCCGAAAGAUGGUGAACUAUGCCUGAAUAGGGUGAAGCCAGAGGAAACUCUGGUGGAGGCUCGUAGCGAUUCUGACGUGCAAAUCGAUCGUCAAAUUUGGGUAUAGGGGCGAAAGACUAAUCGAACCAUCUAGUAGCUGGUC
rnacentral:rRNA from 1 species